rnacentral:rRNA from 1 species
AAUGAACGCUGGCGGCAUGCCUAACACAUGCAAGUCGAACGAGAUCCUUCGGGGUCUAGUGGCGCACGGGUGCGUAACGCGUGGGAAUCUACCCUUGGGUUCGGAAUAACAGUGAGAAAUUACUGCUAAUACCGGAUGAUGACGAAAGUCCAAAGAUUUAUCGCCCAGGGAUGAGCCCGCGUAAGAUUAGCUAGUUGGUGGG